rnacentral:lncRNA from 1 species
UUCAUAUACCCUUCAACCCAGAUUCUCCAAAUGAAGAGAGAAAACUCUUCCACCUUCCCUUAAGGCUUUCAUGCCCUGUACCUAAUCACAGUUACCUUUCUCCCUCCCUGAUUAAUCACCUCUAGCCACUUCAGACUUUGCCAGGCAUCCCAUAUUCUCACUCCCAGUCUUACCUGCUCUUCUCAAAUCAGCCUGCUAUGCUUAUGGACACCUGGUUAUUUUGAGGUUCUCAGGUCUGUCAGACACCCCACAUUGUCCCUCUCUGCCUUUUCCUGCACAGAUGCCUAGACCACACAAGUCUUAGCUGUAGUAUUUUGUCUUUGUCUCCUAGAAUUUUGCCACUUUGAGGGUACCUCUUCAUGUAGUUUUGUUGUAUAUGUUGUCUGUAUUUUUUUUUUUUUUUACAGUUUUGCUAUCCUGUUUGCUCUGUUUUUAUGGGGGUAUUUGUUUAAAUUCAAAAACAAUGCUACCACUUCCACCAUUGUGGUAGUCCGUUUUCACGCUGCUGAUAAAACAUACCCAAGACUGGGUAAUUUAUAAAGAAAAAGAGGUUUAAUGGACUCACAGUUCCAUGUGGCUGAGGAGGCCUCACAAUCAUGACGGAAGGUAAAAGGCACGUCUUACAUGGCAGCAGACAAGAGAGAAUGAGGGCCAAGUGACAGGGGUUUCCCCUUAGAAAGCCAACAGAUCUCAUGAGACUUAUUCACUACCGUGAGAACAGUAUGGGGGAAACUGCCCCCAUGAUUCAAUUAUCUCCCACCAAGUCCCUCCCACAACACGUGGGAAUUAUGGGAGCUAAGUUGGUGUUAUUUUCAGUUUUUUCUUCCCUAGAAUUUUUUUUCAUAUAGAAAAAUAAGAUAUUUUUAAAAUUUUCUUUCAGAUUUGCGGUUGGAAGAUGAUUGAAUGUCGGGAAUAUGGAAAGACUCUUUGUCAAGACUCAAAAACAUCAGCGAAUUCAUACCGGUGAAAAACCCUACGAAUGCAAAGAAUGUGGGAAGGCCUUUAGCACUAGCUCACCCCUUGCUAAGCAUCAGAGAAUUCAUACUGGCGAGAAACCCUAUGAAUGUAAGGAGUGUGGGAAGUCCUUCACUGUGUAUGGACAGCUUACUCGACAUCAGAGUAUUCAUACUGGUGAGAAACCUUUUGAAUGUAAGGAAUGUGGAAAGGCCUUUAGACUUAGUUCCUUCCUUCAUGCACAUCAGCGAAUUCACGCAGGGAUAAAGCCCUAUGGAUGCAAGGAAUGUGGGAAAACCUUCAGUCG